rnacentral:rRNA from 1 species
CGCAGCUAGCUGCGUGAUUUAGUGUGAAUUGCAGGACACAUUGAGCAUCGACGAUCUGAACGCGAAUUGCGGCCUCGAGUUAAUCCCGGGACCGCGCCCGCCUCAGGGUCG